rnacentral:rRNA from 1 species
AGGAUGAACGCUGGCGGCGUGCCUAACACAUGCAAGUCGAACGCUCUCCAUUCGGUAGCAAUACUGAUGAAGAGGGAGUGGCGAACGGGUGAGUACCAUGUGAGCAACCUGCCCCGAAGACUGGGACAACACCGGGAAACCGGUGCUAAUACCGGAUAUCCCUAUCGGAUCGCAUGAUCUGAUAAGGAAAUGGAUUCCGCUUCGGGAGGGCUCGCGGCCUAUCAGCUAGUUGGUGAGGUAAUAGCUCACCAAGGCAUCGACGGGUAGCUGGUCUGAGAGGACGAUCAGCCACACUGGGACUGAGACACGGCCCAGACUCCUACGGGAGGCAGCAGUGGGGAAUCUUGCGCAAUGGGCGAAAGCCUGACGCAGCAACGCCGCGUGGAGGACGAAUGCUUUCUGAGUUGUAAACUCCUUUCAGCAGGGACGAUUGUGACGGUACUGCAGAAGAGCACCGGACCAACUACGCGCCACG